GAUGAACGCUGGCGGCGUGCCUAAUACAUGCAAGUCGAGCGAACAGAUGAGGAGCUUGCUCCUCUGACGUUAGCGGCGGACGGGUGAGUAACACGUGGAUAACCUACCUAUAAGACUGGGAUAACUUCGGGAAACCGGAGCUAAUACCGGAUAAUAUAUUGAACCGCAUGGUUCAAUAGUGAAAGACGGUUUUGCUGUCACUUAUAGAUGGAUCCGCGCCGCAUUAGCUAGUUGGUAAGGUAACGGCUUACCAAGGCAACGAUGCGUAGCCGACCUGAGAGGGUGAUCGGCCACACUGGAACUGUGACCCGGUCCAGACUCCUACGGGAGGCAGCAGUAGGGAAUCUUCCGCAAUGGGCGAAAGCCUGACGGAGCAACGCCGCGUGAGUGAUGAAGGUCUUCGGAUCGUAAAACUCUGUUAUUAGGGAAGAACAAAUGUGUAAGUAACUAUGCACGUCUUGACGGUACCUAAUCAGAAAGCCACGGCUAACUACGUG
rnacentral:rRNA from 1 species